rnacentral:rRNA from 1 species
GACGGAGGGUGCUAGCGUUGUUCGGAAUUACUGGGCGUAAAGGGCGCGUAGGCGGCCUGGUCAGUCGGGUGUGAAAGCCCGGGGCUCAACCCCGGAACGGCACCCGAGACGGUCAGGCUGGAGACCGGGAGAGGAGGGUGGAAUAGCAAGUGUAGAGGUGAAAUUCGUAGAUAUUGGCUGGAACACCGGUGGCGAAAGCGGCUCUCUGGCCCGGUUCUGACGCUGAGGCGCGAAAGCGUGGGGAGCAAACAGG